rnacentral:rRNA from 1 species
AUUGAACGCUGGCGGCAGGCCUAACCCAUGCAAGUCGAACGAGUGGCGGACGGGUGAGUCAUGUCUGGGAAACUGCCUGAUGGAUGGGGAUAACUACUGGACACGGUAGCUAAUACCGCAUACCAUCGGAUGUGCCCAGAUGGGAUUAUCUAGUAGGUGGGGUAACGGCUCACCUCGGCAACGAUCCAUAGCUGGUCUGAGAGGAUGACCAGCCACACUGGAACGGAGACACGGUCCAGACUCCUACGGGAGGCAGCAGUGGGGAAUAUUGCGCAAGGGGCGAAAGCCUGAUGCAGCAAUGCCGCGUGUGUGAAGAAGGCCUUCGGGUUGUAAAGUACUGUCAGCGGGGAGGCGGUACCCGCAGAAGAAGCACCGGCUAACUACGUGCCAGCAGCCGCGGUAAUUC